GACGAACGCUGGCGGCGUGCUUAACACAUGCAAGUCGAACGGAAAGGCCCUGCUUUUGUGGGGUGCUCGAGUGGCGAACGGGUGAGUAACACGUGAGUAACCUGCCCUUGACUUUGGGAUAACUUCAGGCAACUGGGGCUAAUACCGGCUAGGAGCUCCUGCUGCAUGGUGGGGGUUGGAAAGUUUCGGCGGUUGGGGAUGGACUCGCGGCUUAUCAGCUUGUUGGUGGGGUAGUGUCUUACCAAGGCUUUGACGGGUAGCCGGCCUGAGAGGGUGACCGGCCACAUUGGGACUGAGAUACGGCCCAGACUCCUACGGGAGGCAGCAGUGGGGAAUAUUGCACUAUGGGCUGAAGCCUGAUGCAGCAACGCCGCGUGCGGGAUGACGGCCUUCGGGUUGUAAACCGCUUUCGCCUGUGACGAAGCGUGAGUGACGGUAAUGGGUAAAGAAGCACCGGCUAACUACGUG
rnacentral:rRNA from 1 species